rnacentral:rRNA from 1 species
GAUGAACGCUGGCGGCGUGCCUAAUACAUGCAAGUCGAGCGAAGCGGGGACGGGGGAGUAACACGUGGAUAACCUCCUAUAAGACUGGGAUAACUUAGGGAAACCGGAGCUAAACCGGAUAAUUAUAGAUGGAUCCGCGCUUCAUUAGCUAGUUGGUAAGGUAACGGCUUACCAGGGCAACGAUGCAUAGCCGACCUGAGAGGGGGAUCUACCCCACUGGAACUGUGACACGGUCCAGACUCCUACAUGACUCAUCGAUAAAUAAUCUUCCGCAGUGGGCGAAAGCCUGAGCGAGCAACGCCGCGUGAGUGAUGAAGUUCUUCGGAUCUUAAAACUCUGUUAUUAGGGAAGCGGUACCUAAUCAGAAAGCCACGGCUAACUACGUGCCAGCAGCCGCGGUAAUUC